AACGUAGGACCCAAGCGUUAUCUGGAGUUACUGGGCGUAAAGGGCGUGUAGGCGGACGUGUAAGUCUAUUCUGAAAGCUCCUGGCUAAACUGGGAGAGGCGAAUGGAGACUGCAUAUCUAGAGUGAGGAAGAGGAAAGUGGAAUUCCGCGUGUAGUGGUGAAAUGCGUAGAGAUGUGGAGGAACACCGAUGGCGAAGGCAGCCUCCGGGGCCGACACUGACGCUGAGGGCACGAAAGCGUGGGGAGCAAACAGG
rnacentral:rRNA from 1 species